rnacentral:rRNA from 1 species
ACGGGAGGCAGCAGUGGGGAAUAUUGGGCAAUGGGCGAAAGCCUGACCCAGCGACGCCGCGUGAGGGAAGACGGUCUUCGGAUUGUAAACCUUAGUCAACAGGGAAGAAAGAAAUGACGGUACCUGUGGAGGAAGCCACGGCUAACUACGUGCCAGCAGCCGCGGUAAUACGUAGGUGGCAAGCGUUAUCCGGAUUUACUGGGUGUAAAGGGUGUGUAGGCGGGGAGGCAAGUCAGAUGUGAAAACUAUGGGCUCAACUCAUAGCUUGCAUUUGAAACUGUUUUUCUUGAGGAUCGGAGAGGUAAAUGGAAUUCCCAGUGUAGCGGUGAAAUGCGUAGAUAUUGGGAGGAACACCAGUGGCGAAGGCGAUUUACUGGACGAUACCUGACGCUGAGACACGAAAGCGUGGGGAGCAAACAGGAUUAGAUACCCUGGUA